rnacentral:miRNA from 1 species
AAUGCAGGAUGCCCAGGUAAAUUCGAAUUUCUGGGAAACAAUGAAUAAUGCUUUAAUAUAAGUAUGUUGCAUGCAGUAUUUGGGAAAUACUUAUGCUAAAAUAACUAUUCGUGGAUGAUCUGAAUUCCAAUUUAAUUGGAUGUCCCGUAUUUU